rnacentral:lncRNA from 1 species
GACCAUCAUCUUUCUCUCUCAUAACAUCUCCCUCAUAAACUCCACCAUCAUCCUUCACAACAAACUCUUGCAGGUAAGGGGCCGUCCAUCUCUUUCGCACACACCUUGACAACAUUUUCUUAUGCUCACGAGCCUUAUUCAUAUACAUCCAAGCAAGACCUAAGCAGGCUAGCGCAAAUAUCAGAUUAGUGUCCUCCAUAUAGUAAU